rnacentral:misc_RNA from 1 species
CAGUAACUGGCUUCUCAAAUAGAAUUGGGUUGAAUGACAACAUUUUGAAUUGUCCGGCGGCUUUGGAUCACAACUAACUUUCUGUCAAGAUUCAUGAUGUAUGAACCAAUGAAUUAGAAUUAUUUUUUAUAGUUCAUUUUAUAUUUGCAAUGAAAUGUCUCUCGGGGUCUCAUUGUGGUUAAUGUAAUGGCACUGCUGAUACAAGUAUCUGGGUGAAAAGGGGCGUUUCAUUGUUUCCUUAGCUAAGAAAUCAAGAAUUCUGAAGUGGGAAUGAAGAAACAAUCAAGCAUUUUUGUCUGAUGAUUUUGGUUUCACUUGUUAUCUUUUGGUACAAAUGAGGGUGCUCAUAUCUCCCAAGUAUCCGUCUGUUGUGUAAUAAUCCAGUUACCAAUGGUCUAACAAAGCUGGCCAAGUAGAGGUAGAACAGUAGAUUACCUCUCCUUAAAUGGGAAUUUGGGGGAAAGGGUAUUGGUUAUGAUUAUUUGCUCGCGCAUUUAGUGCGGCCUUCAAAUGCACGGC